rnacentral:lncRNA from 1 species
UGACCACAAGCGCAAUUGUGUGUCGCGAGGAAAUAGGCAUAUAAGGUACCGUGAGAUAUCAGGGAGAUGUGAGAGCACAUCUCCGAAGAGAGAUGUGCCCUAAAGAUAGUUUCUUUUGGAUAUACCAUCGCACUGCUGCCGGGGCUGGUGCCGGUGCAGACGCCCGCCCCGAUCGACGCCGGAUGCUCGCCGCCGGGUGGCUUCAGAAUGUGAAGUCUGCCUGCUCCUGUUCGAUAGGUAAAGUUUCGGAGACACUGGUGCGUUUUCUGGAAACUGCAGUCUCAAGGAUGGCGACGGAGAAAGUGCGCCCAUGGUCUUCCAUGCCCUCGCGCUACUGAGCCAGAAUACCAGCAGCCAGCACCCUUCGAGCUGCAGUGCGCCGAUCUCGCGGUAGGAAGCGGUUCAAAAACUAAGCGAUCUCGCGCAGUGUUUGCGAUCUAUGGGAGUGUUUCAUUGUUUUUUUUUUACGGACCUCUUUUAGUGUUGUGUUUAACGGAUUGCGCCCCGUACCCGGCUCUUGAAUUGCAUGUUGGCAGAGAUUUCGUAUGAUGGGUUUUGUAAUAAACUUCAGUGUUUUC